UGACGAAGAAGGAGAAACAAGUGAGAUAAUGGAAGAGAAAGAGAGACGAAACAAAGAUGAAAGGAAAGAUGGCUGGGGAAGAGGAAAGAGAGAUGGAUAGAAAGAUUGUGAAAGAGAGGAUAAGAUAUAUAUAUAGAGAGAGAGAGAAUGAGAGGAAGAGAAAGAGAUACAGAGAGAGAGAUGGUUAGAAAGAGUAUAAAAAGAUUGAGGGAGAGAGAAAGAAGACAAAGGGGACGGGAGAGAAAGAUGGAUAGAAAGAGAGAGAGAGAGAGACUAAAGAAAAGAGACAUAGAAGAUAAAGAGGGAUAGAGAGAGAGAGAGAUGAAGAUGAUGAUGAAGAAGGAAGCAAGCUGAUAUACAUGAAACUGACAGACGGACGACAUUGUACGGUGGUGGCUGUUGCGUGUGUAAUAUUAUUAUUAGCAUCAUCUCACGUUGUAAUGAUAAUAUUGUCGUAAAGUAGCCGUGUGCUGGAGUUCCAUCCUCAUCGCCAACAUAACCAGCCAGGCCAACUUAUAUAUAUAUAUAUGUAGAUAGAUGUAUAUUUUGGCUGAGAUCGUCGUCACCUAAAAGGCAACAAACACUCGAUUGAUAUUUACAGACCUCAUGUCACCCUCGGCCAAAUUCUGGAUCCUCGCUCCGAUCAAGAUUUUUGGAAAUACUGUUGGUGAUCCCUUCAUGACUUUGUGUUGGUGACCUGUUGAUGUCCAGCUGACGAAUUGUAAGACAUCUUCCUGCUAAUAUUGUGAUAUUAGGUUAUCAACCUCUGCAGGUUAAUGACCUCUUCAUAUUAAUGAGCUUCCAAGGCCAAUGGUCUUUAGAAAAUGAUGGCCUCCCAAGAGUGAUGACCUUUUGACUUUCUCCAGACAACAACUUUUCAUUUUAUUUGUGGGUUUCUUCUCAACAGAUUGAACUGAACUCAUGAACCAGUACCCACUCACAUAAAGAUAUGUAUAUACACACACACACAGCAGUAUGCAUACACACACACACACACACACACACACAGCAGUAUGCAUAUAUAUUAAGUAAAGUUAUAACAUGUAACCAGACAGAAAUUUAAAGCUAACUCCAAAGUGAUUUUUUAUUUUGUAACUUUGUUACUCAAAGCUAGUGGGAGACACACUUCUUGAGUUUUCAUCAACUCCCUACAGUUACUGAUCCUAAUUACAUAAAUCUCCAAUCACAGGCAUGAAAGCUGCCAUAUUAAUACAGACAAUCCACAGCCAACUGCAUAAUACACAUAUCCAUGAUCAUUAGUUUGUUAACCUAGAUAUUUCCGUUGUAGUAUUUGACUUCAAGGAGACCAAAGGACUUCCACAUAAAAACCAGUUUCUAAAACUCUCCUUCAACACUUGAGUUAAUGGUCAUUUGUAUUUUAUCUAGCAGAAAUGCUUGCUAGACAUUAUGUUGGCAGGAUCUAGACCACAACAAUCAGCCUAAACUAUUCCUGCUUCAGCUUUGUUAUACUUAAUUGUUUGUAAGUCUGCCUCAACCCCCUACUUGAACUUAACCCCUUCUGCUUCUCCCUGUACACCUACUGCCAAAAUUUUCCUUCUUUUGUUUAAUCCUUCAGCAUCUAAUCCAGCCAAAAUAUUCUGUUCAAAACAGCCAUGUCAGGCCUCUCACAACUACCCUACAAUGUCAAUCUAAAAACAAUCACGUCAUGUUAAUCUUGAGGCUAUAAGAUAAUUAAUGAUUAAUUCAAAACAAUGUUAAUAAAUAAACAUUACAUUUGACAGAAUAAUCUCUCCCUAAUCUUGUUUACCUUUCUCUCCCUAAUCUUGUUUACCUUUCUCCCAUCUUUGCGCAAUUUCUAUUUCUGAUUCAUUUUACUUCUGCCUAGAUUUGCCUAACUUUUACAGACAGAUUCACUCGUUUGUCUGUCUGUAUUCAUACAAACUUGUAAAGAGGAAAAAAAAAUCACUUGGAAAUUAAAGAAAACAACCUAAAGAAAAAGAAAAAAACCCACAAAAGCAAAGCAGACUAAGAUUCCAUUCAUCUACGAAUUUUGUAUGACUGUCAUCUCAGCAGAAAAAAAAAAAUAUAUAUAUAUAUAUAAUACAUACAUACACACAUAUAUAUAUAUAACAUUGAGCUAGUUUCUCUAAAAAGUUUUCUUAUUAGCUUUGUGGAUUUUUUCUGUUCUCUAUUUUAGCUUGCAUGACAAAUAUUGAUUUUCAUAAACUUUCUUUUCUCUACUUUAAAAGAUUGACUAUUUAGUCACACAUACAA